GUACCUACGGGGCGCAGCAGUGGGGAAUAUUGGACAAUGGGGGGAACCCUGAUCCGGCGACGCCGCGUGAGUGAAGAAGAAUUUCGGUAUGUAAAGCUCUAUCAGCAGGGAAGAAAAUGACGGUACCUGACUAAGAAGCCCCGGCUAACUACGUGCCAGCAGCCGCGGUAAUACGUAGGGGGCAAGCGUUAUCCGGAUUUACUGGGUGUAAAGGGAGCGUAGACGGUGCAGCAAGUCUGAUGUGAAAGGUCGGGGCCCAACCCCGGAACUGCAUUG
rnacentral:rRNA from 1 species